rnacentral:misc_RNA from 1 species
CCAAGAAGGCAUUGAUUUGUUUUCGCUGCAGAGCAUCAAAGAGAUGGGAGAGAAAACCCUCGCGAAUAUCUUUGCCUCUAAAGCUAAUAAAAACAUCAUAUUUGCAAGGAGUUGAAGAAGUAGAAGCCAUGGUAAGAGAUUAAAGAGCCUCUGCAACUGAGUUUGAAGAAGGUAAAGAGGGCAAAACACUAUAUUAUUUUAUAUGAAG